GGUUUUCGGGGAAACUUGUUUUUGGUUCAAAUGUGGAAAAUUCUUCAAGUGGAAAACAAAAAGCUGCCUCAAAGGAGAACAAUGAAGAUUCUGUUCCGAAGGCUGAAGCAAAAUUCCAAGCAUUCACAGGGAAGAAGUAUUCACUGAAAGACUAAAUCUAGUUCCUCCAUUUGCUCCUUGUUUUAUGAAUCUCUACUUAUUUUAGUUAUUUUCUGGAGUGAGGCAUUCCUUGGAUUCUGAAAAUCCUCUCUCGAUGCAAGUAGAGGUUCUUGAUAUUUUGGAUAAGCUGUAAAUUCAAUUGACUUGUACAUAAACCACGACUCUCUACUACUAUUGCAGCUCCAUAAAAUCCCAAAGGUUAGAAAGUACGAUAAUUCAAGUUGUGGAGCACAUAAUCUUCCUUUAUUGAACUUCUUC